UGAUCAACUUACCCNUACAGAGAAAAAUAACCUCGGGAAACUGAGGAUAAUGUUUCAUAGUUGAAUAGGCUUGGAAAAGUUUUUCAAUAAAAGGGAUAAGGAAAAUGGUCCUUAUCCGCUAUAGGAUAGGAUCGUGUUCGAUUAUGGUUGUUGGUGAGGUAACGGCUCACCAAGCCGAUAAUCGAUAGGGGCCGUGAGAGCGGGAGCCCCGAGAUGGGUACUGAGACAACGACCCAGGCCUUACGAGGCGCAGCAGGCGCGGAACCUCCGCAAUACACGAAAGUGUGACGGGGUUACCCAAAGUGCUCUUUCUAGAGCUGUGGUAGGUGAGUAAUGUUCCCUACUAGAAAGGAGAGGGCAAGGCUGGUGCCAGCCGCCGCGGUAAAACCAGCUCUUCAAGUGGUCGGGAUAAUUAUUGGGCUUAAAGUGUCCGUAGCCGGUUUAGAAAGUUCCUGGUAAAAUCGGGUAGCUUAACUAUCCGUAUGCUAGGAAUACUGCUAUACUAGAGGGCGGGAGAGGUCUGAGGUACUACAGGGGUAGGGGUGAAAUCUUAUAAUCCUUGUAGGACCACCAGUGGCGAAGGCGUCAGACUGGAACGCGCCUGACGGUGAGGGACGAAAGCCAGGGGAGCGAACCGGAUUAGAUACCCGGGUAGUCCUGGCCGUAAACGAUGCAUACUAGGUGAUGGCACGGCCAUGAGCCGUGUCAGUGCCGUAGGGAAACCGUUAAGUGUGCCGCCUGGGAAGUACGGUCGCAAGGCUAAAACUUAA
rnacentral:rRNA from 1 species